ACAGAUCGUUCAGAGUUUGAUCCUGGCUCAGGAUGAACGCUAGCGGCAGGCUUAACACAUGCAAGUCGAGGGGCAGCAUGAGACGGAGAUUCGUCGAAGUCUUGAUGGCGACCGGCGCAAGGGUGCGUAACGCGUGAGCAACUUGCCCGUUUCUGGGGAAUAACCGGUGGAAACGCCGACUAAUACCCCAUAGUAUUGAGUUUAGGCAUCUUUACUCAAUUAAAGAAUUUCGGAAACGGAUAGGCUCGCGUGACAUUAGCUUGAUGGCGGGGUAACGGCCCACCAUGGCAACGAUGUCUAGGGGUUCUGAGAGGAAGGUCCCCCACACUGGAACUGAGACACGGUCCAG
rnacentral:rRNA from 1 species